rnacentral:rRNA from 1 species
GCACGUCUUCCUAGCCGCAUUCCUGCCGGCCUCCGCGGUGGUUCUGUACCUCGUGAUGUAGCCGCGCUCCGUGUACCUCGUCGACUACGCUUGCUUCCACACCAAGCCCAGCCACUGCGUCCCCUUCGGCACAUUCCUCGAGCACGCCAAGCUUGUCACCUUCAUUGA